AAUAGAUACCCCGGUAGUCCACGCCCUAAACGAUGGAUACUAGGCGUAAGAGGUAUCGACCCCUCUUGUGCCGCAGCUAACGCAUUAAGUAUCCCGCCUGGGGAGUACGGCCGCAAGGUUGAAACUCAAAUGAAUUGACGGGGACCCGCACAAGCGGUGGAGCAUGUGGAUUAAUUCGAUACUAACCGAAGAACCUUACCCAGACUUGACAUCGAUCGCAAGCCUUAGAAAUAGGGCCCUCCCCCACAAGGGGACGUGAAGACACUUGUUGCAUGGCUGUCGUCAGCUCGUGCCGUGAGGUGUACGGUUAAGUCCGCCAACGAGCGCAACCCUCGUCCUGUGUUACCAGCAUGAAAGAUGGGAACUCACAGGAGACCGCCGGUGUAAAUCGGAGGAAGGUGGGGAUGACGUCAAGUCAGCAUGGCAGUUACGUCUGGGGCUUCACACAUGCUACAAUGGGCGAAACAGAGGGCCGCAAUACCGUGAGGUGGAGCAAAUCCCAAAAAUACCGCCCCCAGUUCAGAUUGCAGU
rnacentral:rRNA from 1 species